rnacentral:rRNA from 1 species
UACGUAGGGUGCAAGCGUUGUCCGGAAUUAUUGGGCGUAAAGAGCUCGUAGGCGGUUCGUCGCGUCGGCUGUGAAAACCCGGAGCUCAACUCCGGGCCUGCAGUCGAUACGGGCGGACUUGAGUGUUGCAGGGGAGACUGGAAUUCCUGGUGUAGCGGUGAAAUGCGCAGAUAUCAGGAGGAACACCGGUGGCGAAGGCGGUUCUCUGGGCCGAUACUGACGCUGAGGAGCGAAAGCGUGGGGAGCGAACAGG